rnacentral:rRNA from 1 species
GACGAACGCUGGCGGCGUGCUUAACACAUGCAAGUCGAACGAAGUGGCGAACGGGUGAGUAACGCGUAAUCAACCUGCCCUUCAGAGGGGGACAACAGUUGGAAACGACUGCUAAUACCGCAUACUGAAGGAGGGGAUUGCGUCUGAUUAGCUAGGUGGGGGGGGAACGGCCCACCAAGGCGAUGAUCAGUCGCCGUGCGGAGAGGAUGAACGGCCAAAGUGGGACUGGGACACGGCCCAGAAUCCUACGGGAGGCAGCAGUGGGGAAGCGGCCGCAAAGGACGAAAGUCUGACGGAGCAACGCCGCGUUAGGGAUGACGGCCUUCGGGUGGGAAAGCUCUGUUAAUCGGGACGCGGUACCGGAAUAGAAAGUCACGGCUAACUACGUGCCAGCAGCCGCGGUAAUAC